rnacentral:rRNA from 1 species
GUGAAAUUGUUGAAAGGGAAGCGCUUGCAACCAGACCUGCCUGCGGUUGCUCAUCCGGGCAAAAGCCCGGUGCACUCUUCCGCUGUCAGGCCAGCAUCAGUUUGGGCGGUCGGAUAAAGGCUUCGGGAAUGUAGCUCCUCUCGGGGAGUGUUAUAGCCCGUUGCGAAAUGCGGCCAGCUUGGACUGAGGUCCGCGCUUCGGCUAGGAUGCUGGCGUAAUGGUUGUAAGCGGCCCGUCUUGAAACACGGACCAAGGAGUCUAACAUCUGUGCGAGUGUUUGGGUGUCAAACCCGUACGCGUAAUGAAAGUGAACGGAGGCGGGAACCUCUCGGGGUGCACCGUCGACCGAUCCUGAUGUCUUCGGAUGGAUUUGAGUAAGAGCAUAGCUGUUGGGACCCGAAAGAUGGUGAACUAUGCCUGAAUAGGGUGAAGCCAGAGGAAACUCUGGUGGAGGCUCGCAGCGGUUCUGACGUGCAAAUCGAUCGUCAAAUUUGGGCAUAGGGGCGAAAGACUAAUCGAACUAUCUAGUAGCUGGUUCCUGCCGAAGUUUCCCUCAGGAUAGCAGUAACGUUUUCAGUUUUAUGAGGUAAAGCGAAUGAUUAGAGGCCUGGGGGUUGAAACAACCUUCACCUAUUCUCAAACUUUAAAUAUGUAAGAAGUCCCUUG